rnacentral:rRNA from 18 species
GACCUCGGAUCAGGUAGGGAUACCCGCUGAACUUAAGCAUAUCA